rnacentral:lncRNA from 1 species
AUGGAGGAUUCCCCCCCCCCACCAACAUCCCACUCUGUAGGAUCGGAAAAUUGUUGUGGUUCUGUGUUUGCCAACCGUGGUACUACAACAACAACCAGCACUGUGGAAAUAUCAACUCGUGGAUCUUUGCCUGAAGCGCAGGAGCCUCAGGUUGACAGCCCGGUCACGGAAGAAGCUGCUACUACAACAUCCUUUACGAGACCUGUUGCGGCUUUCGCUAUCAGUGUUCAAAAACAGUGCCACUAAUCACAGAGAACGGUCAAACAUAUCAUCUCAGGAGUGCAACAAUAUCAGGCAGUUCUUCUGGAUAUGCUCGAGCAAAAAUUGAGGACAGUGUUUGAAGAUCAUGCCGAGAGAACCACUCAGCUUCAAGAUGAGGCGUUGGCUACAUUUGAUAAGUUCAUGGAUCCUUUCUCCAGCAUUGCUAUGGACAGAGUUGAGCCAUAGGGGAACUGUUCAGCCCAGUCAAUGCAUAGGAAGUAGUAGUAUCCCAGAAGAUUUGUUAGGUAAAGCAAGGUCUUUGAAGGGUCAUGUCCAUAAGCAACAAAAGUUUUUACUACGUACCAUUAAUUGAAGGUGUAAAGCAGUUAUUGACUGAUGAGAGAAUCAGUUGAACACUGCACCACAAAGAAGCAGAGAGGCAUUCUUCUAUGAUUUAACAAACGGAUCCCUCUUUACAUCUCACCCCAUAUUUACAGGCCAAAUGCAUUGCAAUUAAUACUUUACACAAUUAUAAUGUGUAACCCCUUAGGGUCCCAUGCUUCUGAAAACACAUUGGUUAUGUUUUAUUGUACUUUAGAAAAUAUUGAUUCAAAAUUUAGGUCAAAGUUAGCUGCAAUAUGACUUUAUUGCUAUCGCUAAGGAAAAUUACAUUGCUCAGUGGGGCGUUGAUGUUGUACUGAAAAGAAUUCUUCAAGAUCUAUCAGUGCUUUACAAUGG